GAAGAGAGAAAAAGACGGUCAGAAGUAGAAAAUCAUAAUCAUUCAUUUAAGCAGUAAACUUAAAGAGCAGCUCCUUAAAUGACCCAGGGACCAAAUAUUUUCCAGAUCGCACACUUCAGUUUCUUUCCUUGGGAUCUUGAAGAAACCUGUGAACCUAGGAUUCUCUCCCUGACGAGGGAGAUGGCAAGCCGACCAACUUGACCAACUUGGUUCAUCUUCAUCCACUUGAGGAAGGACCCCCUGAUACCCCUUGUUUCUCCCAGCCCCACUCUGGUGUGGUAGGAUUGUGAUUGAGAAAUUGCAUAAUUUUAUUUGAUACUUUAUAUUUUUUAAAUAGGGUGCACCCAACCAACAAAACUGACUUGAAACUAACUAAAUUGAACUAAACCAGACUGAACAGAAGACAUUCAGAACUUAAUGGACAGUGAAUACAGUUACAGCACUCAGGACAUUGAUAUGAAGACAAAUGAAUGUGGUUGAAUGUGAUAAGUAAAUGCUGGCUUUACAUGUUGUCAUUACACUUUCUUUAAUACAGUUCUAACCAUUUUGCACUUAC